rnacentral:rRNA from 1 species
UACAGAGGUCCCAAGCGUUGUUCGGAUUCACUGGGCGUAAAGGGUGCGUAGGCGGUCGGGUAAGUCUGCUGUGAAAUCUCACAGCUUAACUGUGAAACUGCAUUGGAUACUAUCCGGCUAGAGGAAUGGAGGGGAGACUGGAAUACUUGGUGUAGCAGUGAAAUGCGUAGAUAUCAAGUGGAACACCAGUGGCGAAGGCGAGUCUCUGGACAUUUCCUGACGCUGAGGCACGAAAGCCAGGGGAGCAAACGGG